rnacentral:pre_miRNA from 1 species
UUUGUACUCCCUCCAUCCCAAAAUUCUUGUCUUAAAUUUGUCUAAAUACGGAUGUAUCUAGUUACAUUUUAGUGUUAGAUACAUCUGUAUCUAAACAAAUGUAAGACAAGAAUUUUGGGACGGAGGGAAUACUAC